rnacentral:rRNA from 1 species
CCAGACUCCUACGGGAGGCAGCAGUGAGGAAUAUUGGUCAAUGGGCGAGAGCCUGAACCAGCCAAGUCGCGUGAGGGAGUACUGCCCUAUGGGUUGUAAACCUCUUUUGUCGGGGAGCAAAAGCCGGACGUGUCCGGCUGUGAGAGUACCCGAAGAAAAAGCAUCGGCUAACUCCGUGCCAGCAGCCGCGGUAAUACGGAGGAUGCGAGCGUUAUCCGGAUUUAUUGGGUUUAAAGGGUGCGCAGGCGGAUUUUUAAGUCAGCGGUCAAAUCGGGGGGCUCAACCCCAUCCAGCCGUUGAAGCUGGGGAUCUAGAGUGUGCGAGAGGUAUGCGGAAUGCGUGGUGUAGCGGUGAAAUGCAUAGAUAUCACGCAGAACUCCGAUUGCGAAGGCAGCAUACCGGCGCCCGACUGACGCUGAGGCACGAAAGCGUGGGGAUCGAACAGGAUUAGAUACCCUUGUA